rnacentral:rRNA from 1 species
UACGGGGGGGGCAAGCGUUGUUCGGAAUUACUGGGCGUAAAGGGCUCGUAGGCGGCCAACUAAGUCAGACGUGAAAUCCCUCGGCUUAACCGGGGAACUGCGUCUGAUACUGGAUGGCUUGAGUUUGGGAGAGGGAUGCGGAAUUCCAGGUGUAGCGGUGAAAUGCGUAGAUAUCUGGAGGAACACCGGUGGCGAAGGCGGGUUGCUGGGCCGACACUGACGCUGAGGCGCGAAAGCCAGGGGAGCAAACGGG